GGCGUGCCUAAUACAUGCAAGUCGAGCGGACAGAUGGGAGCUUGCUCCCUGAUGUUAGCGGCGGACGGGUGAGUAACACGUGGGUAACCUGCCUGUAAGACUGGGAUAACUCCGGGAAACCGGGGCUAAUACCGGAUGCUUGUUUGAACCGCAUGGUUCAAACAUAAAAGGUGGCUUCGGCUACCACUUACAGAUGGACCCGCGGCGCAUUAGCUAGUUGGUGAGGUAAUGGCUCACCAAGGCGACGAUGCGUAGCCGACCUGAGAGGGUGAUCGGCCACACUGGGACUGAGACACGGCCCAGACUCCUACGGGAGGCAGCAGUAGGGAAUCUUCCGCAAUGGACGAAAGUCUGACGGAGCAACGCCGCGUGAGUGAUGAAGGUUUUCGGAUCGUAAAGCUCUGUUGUUAGGGAAGAACAAGUACCGUUCGAAUAGGGCGGUACCUUGACGGUACCUAACCAGAAAGCCACGGCUAACUACGUGCCAGCAGCCGCGGUAAUACGUAGGUGGCAAGCGUUGUCCGGAAUUAUUGGGCGUAAAGGGCUCGCAGGCGGUUUCUUAAGUCUGAUGUGAAAGCCCCCGGCUCAACCGGGGAGGGUCAUUGGAAACUGGGGAACUUGAGUGCAGAAGAGGAGAGUGGAAUUCCACGUGUAGCGGUGAAAUGCGUAGAGAUGUGGAGGAACACCAGUGGCGAAGGCGACUCUCUGGUCUGUAACUGACGCUGAGGAGCGAAAGCGUGGGGAGCGAACAGGAUUAGAUACGCUGGUAGUCCACGCCGUAAACGAUGAGUGCUAAGUGUUAGGAGGUUUCCGCCCCUUAGUGCUGCAGCUAACGCAUUAAGCACUCCGCCUGGGGAGUACGGUCGCAAGACUGAUACUCACAGGAAUUGACGGGGGCCCGCACAAGCGGUGGAGCAUGUGGUUUAAUUCAAAGCAACGCGAAGAAACUUACCAGGUCUUGACAUCCUCUGACAAUCCUAGAGAUAGGACGUCCCCUU
rnacentral:rRNA from 1 species